rnacentral:lncRNA from 1 species
GUCCAACAUUCAGAAUCCCCAAGAUGCAUACAUAAAUCCUAAUAGAAAAUGCUCAGUUCAAAGAAGUUCCAUUGAGGUGAAGCAAUGAUGCAAGGCUUUUGGCAACCGUUCCCCAGCUCCCAGCCACACAUUGCUCCACUUACCUUGAGUGACAGCCUCCAAAGAAAAGUUUCCACCGCGCCAGAGUCUUGACCCUGAGUGGCAUCGGCAGGGUCUCCCGCGGCAGACCAGGGGUGUUGCGGGCUGCGCUGGGUGGGGGACCGCGCGCUGCACGUGCAGUGCCGCCCGGACGGCGGCGAAAGGACAGCCGUGCACCCCGCCCGAGGCCCCAGCGAUCCAUCAGGGCGGCUGUACGCGGGAAGACGCUUCAUCUCAUCCCUAGAUGGCAGCAGGAUUCUGAAGCUGGCGCAGCCCUGGGCAGCCCUUUCUGGUCUAUUUUCCUGAACAGAUUGCCAGGGGAUACGGCGGCUAAACAGCCAGGCGCCUCCCCGGAGCGCAGCUCAGACAGAAUAGCAAGCCGGACAGACGCCGCUGGCGAGGCUUCGGGGGUCAGAUCCUGCAGCUUGGACACCACAUUCUCUCUUUUUGCACACAGAUGUGCUACUGUGUAAAAAUAAACAAACGAACAAAAACAGGGGAGUUCAGCUUCUUGGAGAAUGUGUCAUGGUCAAGACCAGUGAUUCUGGACGGUGACAAAAGUCCUGGAGGCCUGAGUGCACAGAGGACACACGCACAGAUGCACACGAACUCAUGGAGAAACACUGGUCUUCUCUGCCAGGGA